rnacentral:rRNA from 1 species
GGACUACCAGGGUAUCUAAUCCUGUUUGCUCCCCUAGCUUUCGUGCAUCAGCGUCAGUAAUGGUCCAGUGAGCCGCUUUCGCCACAGGUGUUCCUUCCGAUAUCUACGCAUUUCACCGCUACACCGGAAAUUCCACUCACCUCUCCCAUACUCAAGCCCGACAGUUUCUAAUGCAGGCUAUGGGUUGAGCCCAUAGAUUUCACAUCAGACUUAUCAAACCGCCUACGCACCCUUUACGCCCAAUAAUUCCGAACAACGCUCGCCCCCCUCGUAUUACCGCGGCGGCUGGCAC